rnacentral:rRNA from 1 species
AGGACGAACGCUGGCGGCGUGCUUAACACAUGCAAGUCGAGCGCCUCGCAAGAGGAGCGGCAGACGGGUGAGUAACGCGUGGGAACAUACCCUUCGGUUCGGAAUAAUUCAGGGAAACUUGGACUAAUACCGGAUACGGACGAGAGUCGAAAGAUUUAUCGCCGAAGGAUUGGCCCGCGUUCGAUUAGCUAGUUGGUGUGGUAACGGCGCACCAAGGCGACGAUCGAUAGCUGGUCUGAGAGGAUGAUCAGCCACAUUGGGACUGAGACACGGCCCAAACUCCUACGGGAGGCAGCAGUGGGGAAUAUUGGACAAUGGGCGCAAGCCUGAUCCAGCCAUGCCGCGUGAGUGAUGACGGCCUUAGGGUUGUAAAGCUCUUUCGCUAGGGACGAUAAUGACGGUACCUAGACAAGAAGCCCGGCUAACUUCGUGCCAGCAGCCGC